rnacentral:lncRNA from 1 species
AGCAGAUUACAAGAGAUGGAAGAGAGAAUAUCGGGUGCAGAAGAUUCCAUAGAAAACAUGGACAUAAAAAUCAAAGAAAUGCAAAAAGAUCCUAACUCAAAACAUCCAGGAAAUCUAGGACACAAUGAGAAGACCAAACCUAAGGAAAAUAGGUGUAGAUGAGAAUGAAGAUUUUCAACUUAAAGGGCCAGUAAAUAUCUUCAACAAAAUUAUAGAAGAAAACUUACCUAACUUAAGAAAGAGAUGGCCAUGAACAUACAAGAAGCCUAGAACUCCAAAUAGACUGGAACAGAAAAAAAUUCUUUCUGACACAUAAUAAUCAGAACAACAAAUGCACUAAAUAAAGAUAGAAUCUUAAAAGCAGUAAGGGAAAAUGUCAAGUAACAUAUAAAGGCAGACCUAUCAGAAUUAUACCAGACUUCUCAGCAGAGAAUAUGAAAGCCACAAGAUCCUGGGCAUAUGUUGUAUAGACCCUAAGAGAACACAAAUGCCAGCCCAGGCUACUUUACCCAGUAAAACUCUGAAUUACCGUAGAUGGAGAAACCAAGGUAUUCCAUGACAAAACCAAAUUCACACAAUAUCUUUCCACAAAUACAGUCCUUCAAAGGAUAAUAAAGGGAAAACAUAAACACAAGGAUGGAAAUAACACACUAGAAAAAGCAAGAAAGUAAUCCAUCAACAAACCUAAAAGAAGAAAGUUGCAAGAACUGAACCACAACCCUAACAACAAAAAUAACAGGAAGCAAAAAUUACUUUUCCUUAAUAUCUCUUAAUAUCACUGGACUCAAUUCCCCAAUAAAAAGACAUAGAGUGGCAUACUGGCUACAUAAACAGGACCCAACAUUUUGCUGCAUGCAGGAAACCUACCUAAGGGACAAAGACAGACACUCCCUUAGAGUAAAAGGCUGGAAAAAAUUUUCCAAGCAAAUGGUCUGAAGAAACAAGCUAGAGUAACCAUUCUAAUAUAGAAUAAAAUCGAAUUUCAACCCAAAGUUAUCAAAAAAGACAAGGAGGGGCACUUCAUACUCAUCAAAAGUAAAAUCUUCCAAGAUGUACUCUCAAUUCUGAAUACCUAUGCUCCAAAUGCAAGGGCAUCCACAUUCAUUAAUUAAACUUUAGUAAAGUUCAAAGCACACAUUGCACCUCACACAAUAAUAGUGGGAGACUUCAAGACAUCACUCUUAUCAUUGGAUAGAUCCUAGAAACAGAAUCUAAACAGAGGUACAUUAAAAAACUAACAGAAGUUAUGAAACAAAUGGAUUUAACAUAUCUACCGAAUAUUUUAUCCUAAAACAAAAGGAUAUACCUUCUUCUGAGUACCUCAUGGUACCUUCUCCAAAACUGACCAUAUAAUUGGUCAGAAACAGGCCUCAGCAGAUACAAUAAUAUUGAAAUUAUCCCAUGCAUCCUAUCAGAUCAUCACUGACUAAGGCUGAUCUUCAAUAACAACAUAAAUAAUAGUAAGCCAACAUUCAUGUGGAAGCUGAGCAACACUCUACUCAAUGAUAACUUGUUCAAGAAAGAAAGAAAGAAAGAAAGAAAGAAAGAAAGAAAGAAAGAAAGAAAGAAAGAAAGGAAGGAAGGAAGGAAGGAAGAAAGAAAGAAAAGAAAAG